rnacentral:rRNA from 1 species
AGUGAACGCUGGCGGUAGGCCUAACACAUGCCAGUCGAACGGCAGCACAGUAAGAGCUUGCUCUUACGGGUGGCGAGUGGCGGACGGGUGAGGAAUACAUCGGAAUCUACUUUUUCGUGGGGGAUAACGUAGGGAAACUUACGCUAAUACCGCAUACGACCUACGGGUGAAAGCAGGGGAUCUUCGGACCUUGCGCGAUUGAAUGAGCCGAUGUCGGAUUAGCUAGUUGGCGGGGUAAAGGCCCACCAAGGCGACGAUCCGUAGCUGGUCUGAGAGGAUGAUCAGCCACACUGGAACUGAGACACGGUCCAGACUCCUACGGGAGGCAGCAGUGGGGAAUAUUGGACAAUGGGCGCAAGCCUGAUCCAGCCAUACCGCGUGAGUGAAGAAGGCCUUCGGGUUGGAAAGCCCUUUUGUUGGGAAAGAAAAGCAGCAGGUUAAUACCCCGCUGUUCUGACGGUACCCAAAGAAUAAGCACCGGCUAACUUCGUG